GUUGGUUGUAGCUGGCUCCUCGGAGCAAUGUGCACGCCCUGCCAUUUUUAUCUUUCCACCUGUGCACCGACUGUAGGUCUGGAUACCUCUCGCCUCCGGGCGGAUGCGAGGGUUGCUCGUAAGGGCUUCCCUUGAACUUCCAGGCUCUACGUCUUUUUACACACCCCAAUAGUAUGAUGCAGAAUGUAGUCAAUGGGCUUCUCAGCCUAUAAAACACUAUACAACUUUCAGCAACGGAUCUCUUGGCUCUCGCAUCGAUGAAGAACGCAGCGAAAUGCGAUAAGUAAUGUGAAUUGCAGAAUUCAGUGAAUCAUCGAAUCUUUGAACGCACCUUGCGCUCCUUGGUAUUCCGAGGAGCAUGCCUGUUUGAGUGUCAUUAAAUUCUCAACCUCACCAGUUUUCUGAACUGACUGAGGCUUGGAUGUGGGGGUUUGUGCAGGCUGCCUCACGGCGGUCUGCUCCCCUGAAAUGCAUUAGCGAGGUUCAUGCUGGACCUCCGUCUAUUGGUGUGAUAAUUAUCUACGCCGUGGACGAGGAUACAGACUCGCUUCUAAUCGUCCGCGAGGACAAUACCUUGACAAUUUGACCUCAAAUCAGGUAGGACUACCCGCUGAACUUAAGCAUAUCAAA
rnacentral:rRNA from 1 species